CCUACGGGAGGCUGCAGUGGGGAAUAUUGCACAAUGGGGGAAACCCUGAUGCAGCAACGCCGCGUGAGCGAUGAAGGCCUUCGGGUCGUAAAGCUCUGUCCUAAGGGAAGAAUAUUGACGGUACCUUAGGAGGAAGCCCCGGCUAACUACGUGCCAGCAGCCGCGGUAAUACGUAGGGGGCUAGCGUUAUCCGGAAUUACUGGGCGUAAAGGGUGCGUAGGCGGCCCUUCAAGUCAGAGGUGAAAGGCUACGGCUCAACCCAGGAAUUGCACUCCAAACUGGAGGGCUAGAGUGCGGGAGAGGAAAAUGGUAUUCCCAGUGUAGCGGUGAAAUGCGUAGAGAUUGGGAGGAACACCAGUAGCGAAGGCGAUUUUCUGGAACGUAACUGACGCUGAGGCAUGAAAGCGUGGGGAGCAAACAGGAUUAGAUACCCUAGUAGUC
rnacentral:rRNA from 1 species